GUGAAAAUGUUUUGUCAUUUCUGGCUUGCUUGCAAUUUUUGUUUGGUUUUGAAUAUUUGUUGUCAGCUGCAGCUUUAAGAUCACACAAAUACUUCAGGCAAUGAUAAACUUCAUUUCGAUGCUGGGAGAAUCAAAUAUGGUUUUGAAACUCAUUUUAGUUUUCACACAGUGAAUCUCCUGUUUCUGCUGAAUUAAAAUACAGUAGGAUCAAAUUUUAAGAAAUGUGAAAUCUCCAAUCUGAGGGAAAGAUUCAUGAUGAUGAUCUGGGAGCUGCUAAAUCACCCACCUGCUUCCCCAGCUGACCAACAAAGAGGAAGAAUAUCAUACAGAUUCACAAGGCUGAACAGAAAACACGGAAAGAAGGAAAUCCUUUCAUGUUGAUCAUCAAGACAGUUGUGCAUGGAAAAGAUUUACUCCAGUGGCUUUAUUAAGACCUGAUUCAUUAUGGCCCCUCACUACAAG
rnacentral:lncRNA from 1 species